rnacentral:rRNA from 1 species
CACGUAGGGGGCGAGCGUUGUCCGGAUUUAUUGGGCGUAAAGCGCUCGUAGGCGGCUCAGUAAGUCGGGUGUGAAAACUCCGGGCUCAACCUGGAGACGCCACCCGAUACUGCUGUGGCUAGAGUCCGGUAGGGGAGCAUGGAAUUCCUGGUGUAGCGGUGAAAUGCGCAGAUAUCAGGAGGAACACCAGUGGCGAAGGCGGUGCUCUGGGCCGGAACUGACGCUGAUGAGCGAAAGCGUGGGGAGCAAACAGG